rnacentral:rRNA from 1 species
AACGAACGCUGGCGGCGCGUCUUAAGCAUGCAAGUCGAACGGCAAGAGAGGAGCUUGCUUCUCUCCUAGAGUGGCGGACUGGUGAGGAACACGUGGGUAAUCUACCCUUAAGAUGGGGAUAGCUGCUAGAAAUAGCAGGUAAUACCGAAUACACUCGGCAUAUCACAAGAGGUGAUGAGGAAAGGAAGCUACGGCUUCGCUUGAGGAUGAGCUUGCGUCCCAUUAGCUAGUUGGUGAGGUAAAGGCCCAACAAGGCGACGAUGGGUAUCCGGCCUGAGAGGGUGAACGGACACAUUGGGACUGAGAGACGGCCCAAACUCCUACGGGAGGCAGCAGCUAAGAAUAUUCCGCAAUGGACGGAAGUCUGACGGAGCGACGCCGCGUGGAUGAAGAAGGCUGAAAAGUUGUAAAAUCCUUUUGUUGAUGAAGAAUAAGAGUGAGAGGGAAUGCUCAUCUGAUGACGGUAAUCGACGAAUAAGCCCCGGCUAAUUACGUG